rnacentral:rRNA from 1 species
UUUGCCGCAAUGGGCGAAAGCCUGACGGAGCAACGCCGCGUGAGGGACGAAGGCCUCUGGGCUGUAAACCUCUUUUAUCAAGGAAGAAGAUCUGACGGUACUUGAGGAAUAAGCCACGGCUAAUUCCGUGCCAGCAGCCGCGGUAAUACGGGAGUGGCAAGCGUUAUCCGGAAUUAUUGGGCGUAAAGCGUCCGCAGGCGGCCCUUCAAGUCUGCUGUUAAAACGUGGAGCUUAACUCCAUCAUGGCAGUGGAAACUGAAAGGCUUGAGUGUGGUAGGGGCAGAGGGAAUUCCCGGUGUAGCGGUGAAAUGCGUAGAUAUCGGGAAGAACACCAGUGGCGAAGGCGCUCUGCUGGGCCAUUACUGACGCUCAUGGACGAAAGCCAGGGGAGCGAAAGGGAUUAGAUACCCCUGUAGUCCUGGCCGUAAACGAUGAACACUAGGUGUCGGGGGAAUCGACCCCUUCGGUGUCGUAGCCAACGCGUUAAGUGUUCCGCCUGGGGAGUACGCACGCAAGUGUGAAACUCAAAGGAUUUGAC